rnacentral:rRNA from 1 species
GACGAACGCUGGCGGCGUGCUUAACACAUGCAAGUCGAACGGAAAGGCCCUGCUUUUGUGGGGUGCUCGAGUGGCGAACAGGUGAGUAACACGUGAGUAACCUGCCCUUGACUUUGGGAUAACUUCAGGAAACUGGGGCUAAUACCGGAUAGGAGCUCCUGCUGCAUGGUGGGGGUUGGAAAGUUUCGGCGGUUGGGGAUGGACUCGCGGCUUAUCAGCUUGUUGGUGGGGUAGUGGCUUACCAAGGCUUUGACGGGUAGCCGGCCUGAGAGGGUGACCGGCCACAUUGGGACUGAGAUACGGCCCAGACUCCUACGGGAGGCAGCAGUGGGGAAUAUUGCACAAUGGGCGGAAGCCUGAUGCAGCAACGCCGCGUGCGGGAUGACGGCCUUCGGGUUGUAAACCGCUUUCGCCUGUGACGAAGCGUGAGUGACGGUAAUGGGUAAAGAAGCACCGGCUAACUACGUGCCAGCAGCCGCGGUGAUACGUAGGGUGCGAGCGUUGUCCGGAUUUAUUGGGCGUAAAGGGCUCGUAGGUGGUUGAUCGCGUCGGAAGUGUAGUCUUGGGGCUUAACCCUGAGCGUGCUUUCGAUACGGGUUGACUUGAGGAAGGUAGGGGAGAAUGGAAUUCCUGGUGGAGCGGUGGAAUGCGCAGAUAUCAGGAGGAACACCAGUGGCGAAGGCGGUUCUCUGGGCCUUUCCUGACGCUGAGGAGCGAAAGCGUGGGGAGCGAACAGGCUUAGAUACCCUGGUAGUCCACGCUGUAAACGGUGGGUACUAGGUGUGGGGUCCAUUCCACGGGUUCCGUGCCGUAGCUAACGCUUUAAGUACCCCGCCUGGGGAGUACGGCCGCAAGGCUAAAACUCAAAGGAAUUGACGGGGCCCCGCACAAGCGGCGGAGCAUGCGGAUUAAUUCGAUGCAACGCGUAGAACCUUACCUGGGUUUGACAUGGAUCGGGAGUGCUCAGAGAUGGGUGUGCCUCUUUUGGGGUCGGUUCACAGGUGGUGCAUGGCUGUCGUCAGCUCGUGUCGUGAGAUGUUGGGUUAAGUCCCGCAACGAGCGCAACCCUUGUUCACUGUUGCCAGCACGUUAUGGUGGGGACUCAGUGGAGACCGCCGGGGUCAACUCGGAGGAAGGUGGGGAUGACGUCAAGUCAUCAUGCCCCUUAUGUCCAGGGCUUCACGCAUGCUACAAUGGCUGGUACAGAGAGUGGCGAGCCUGUGAGGGUGAGCGAAUCUCGGAAAGCCGGUCUCAGUUCGGAUUGGGGUCUGCAACUCGACCUCAUGAAGUCGGAGUCGCUAGUAAUCGCAGAUCAGCAACGCUGCGGUGAAUACGUUCCCGGG